UACGGAGGGAGCUAGCGUUGUUCGGAAUUACUGGGCGUAAAGCGCGCGUAGGCGGUGACUCAAGUCAGAGGUGAAAGCCCGGGGCUCAACCCCGGAACUGCCUUUGAAACUAGGUCGCUAGAAUCUUGGAGAGGUCAGUGGAAUUCCGAGUGUAGAGGUGAAAUUCGUAGAUAUUCGGAAGAACACCAGUGGCGAAGGCGACUGACUGGACAAGUAUUGACGCUGAGGUGCGAAAGUGUGGGGAGCAAACAGG
rnacentral:rRNA from 1 species